rnacentral:rRNA from 1 species
CCUACGGGUGGCAGCAGUGAGGAAUAUUGGUCAAUGGACGAGAGUCUGAACCAGCCAAGUAGCGUGAAGGAUGACUGCCCUAUGGGUUGUAAACUUCUUUUAUAUGGGAAUAAAAUGUUCCACGUGUGGGAUUUUGUAUGUACCAUAUGAAUAAGGAUCGGCUAACUCCGUGCCAGCAGCCGCGGUAAUACGGAGGAUCCGAGCGUUAUCCGGAUUUAUUGGGUUUAAAGGGAGCGUAGGUGGAUUGUUAAGUCAGUUGUGAAAGUUUGCGGCUCAACCGUAAAAUUGCAGUUGAAACUGGCAGUCUUGAGUACAGUAGAGGUGGGCGGAAUUCGUGGUGUAGCGGUGAAAUGCUUAGAUAUCACGAAGAACUCCGAUUGCGAAGGCAGUUCACUGGACUGCAACUGACACUGAGUCUCGAAAGUGUGGGUAUCAAACAGGAUUAGAUACCCUAGUAGUC